rnacentral:rRNA from 1 species
UACGUAGGGCGCAAGCGUUGUCCGGAAUUAUUGGGCGUAAAGAGCUCGUAGGCGGCUUGUCACGUCGGGUGUGAAAGCCCGGGGCUUAACCCCGGGUCUGCAUUCGAUACGGGCAGGCUAGAGUGUGGUAGGGGAGAUCGGAAUUCCUGGUGUAGCGGUGAAAUGCGCAGAUAUCAGGAGGAACACCGGUGGCGAAGGCGGUGAUCUGGGCCGGCACUGACGCUGAGACGCGAAAGCGUGGGGAGCGAACAGG